rnacentral:rRNA from 1 species
AUUGAACGCUGGCGGCAUGCCUUACACAUGCAAGUCGAACGGCAGCACGGGUGCUUGCACCUGGUGGCGAGUGGCGAACGGGUGAGUAAUACAUCGGAACAUGUCCUGUAGUGGGGGAUAGCCCGGCGAAAGCCGGAUUAAUACCGCAUACGAUCCACGGAUGAAAGCGGGGGACCUUCGGGCCUCGCGCUAUAGGGUUGGCCGAUGGCUGAUUAGCUAGUUCGUGGGGUAAAGGCCUACCAAGGCGACGAUCAGUAGCUGGUCUGAGAGGACGACCAGCCACACUGGGACUGAGACACGGCCCAGACUCCUACGGGAGGCAGCAGUGGGGAAUUUUGGACAAUGGGCGAAAGCCUGAUCCAGCAAUGCCGCGUGUGUGAAGAAGGCCUUCGGGUUGUAAAGCACUUUUGUCCGGAAAGAAAUCCUUGACUCUAAUACAGUCGGGGGAUGACGGUACCGGAAGAAUAAGCACCGGCUAACUACGUG